GGAUUAGAUACCCUGGUAGUCCACGCCGUAAACGAUGAGAACUAGCCGUUGGGCUCCUUGAGGGCUUAGUGGCGCAGCUAACGCGAUAAGUUCUCCGCCUGGGGAGUACGGCCGCAAGGCUAAAACUCAAAUGAAUUGACGGGGGCCCGCACAAGCGGUGGAGCAUGUUGUUUAAUUCGAUGCAACGCGAAGAACCUUACCACCCCUUGACAUCCAGCGAACUUUCUAGAGAUAGAUUGGUGCCUUCGGGAACGCUGUGACAGGUGUUGCAUGGCUGUCGUCAGCUCGUGCCG
rnacentral:rRNA from 1 species